UACGUAGGGUGCAAGCGUUGUCCGGAAUUAUUGGGCGUAAAGAGCUCGUAGGCGGUUUGUUGCGUCGGCUGUGAAAUCCCGAGGCUCAACCUCGGGUCUGCAGUCGAUACGAGCAAACUAGAGUGUUGCAGGGGAGACUGGAAUUCCUGGUGUAGCGGUGAAAUGCGCAGAUAUCGGGAAGAACACCAAUGGCGAAAGCAGUCUGCUGGGCUUGCCCUGACACUGAGACACGAAAGCGUGGGGAGCGAACGGG
rnacentral:rRNA from 1 species